UACAGAGGUCUCAAGCGUUGUUCGGAUUCAUUGGGCGUAAAGGGUGCGUAGGCGGCGCGGUAAGUCGGGUGUGAAAUCUUGGAGCUUAACUCCGAAACUGCAUUCGAUACUGCCGUGCUUGAGGACUGGAGAGGAGACUGGAAUUUACGGUGUAGCGGUGAAAUGCGUAGAUAUCGUGAGGAACACCAGAGGCGAAGGCGGCUACCUGGACAAUUGCUGACGCUCGAGGCACGAAAGCGUGGGGAGCAAAAGGG
rnacentral:rRNA from 1 species